AGACUGCCCCCUGGUGGAAGAAUGGAGGGACGCCACCAGCACGCGGAGGGGAGCCAUGCAGAUGAGGCUGCGGUGCACCUGGGAUUCAGCCACCUUCGUUCCUUUUACUGCUGAGUGUCCAUCACGUGCUGCUCAUGCAGAAGUGCUCAAGUUCGCUGUAAACGUAGUUUUCAUUUCUCCCGGGUGGAGACCUCCAUAAGUAGGUAGGUUGGUGGAAUGUUUCACUGCAUGAGAGUCUGCCAGGAAGUUUUGCAGUGUGGUCCCGUCUUGUUCUUCCCGCAGAGGGUGAUAGCUCUGCUGACUCCCAGCCCUCACAGGCUCUAGGGAUUGAGCCUGUUUCUGUGGAACGCCUUCCAUGGUCUGCGAGGUGCACAGAGGGGUCUCAAAAAGCUUCCAGGUUGCAUCUUCCCAUGGACUGAUGCUGAGCGUGUUCUCAUCUCCCAUCCGGAUGUUUUCUUUGGUUGGAGUGCAACGGCGCGAUCUUGGCUCACUGCAACCUCCCCCCACCCACCUCACUUUGGGUUCAAGCGAUUCUCCUGCCUCAGCCUCCCGAGUAGCUGGGACUACAGGCGCCCGCCACCAUGCCCGGCUAAUUUUUGUAUUUUGAGAAGAGAUAGGGUUUCACCAUGUUGGCCAGGCUGGUCUCGAACUCCUGACCUCAGGUGAUCCACCCGCCUCGGCCUCCCAAAAUGCGAGGAUCACAGGCGUGAGAUGCCACACCUGGCCUCUUUUUAUUUUUAAUGGAGUGGCUUGUUUUCUUAUUACUCAGUCUUGGGAGUUCCUCAUGGAUGCUGGAUUUCAGUCUCGUCUCAGGUGUAUGCGUUUUGUAGAUGUUUUCUGUAGGGACCAGCCCCACAGGGUUGGUGAGUUUCUCCCUGUGUGCUGAGAUGAGAGGGCAUAGAAAUAAGGACACAAGAAAAAGACAUAAAAGAAAAGACAGCUGGGCCUGGGGACCACUACCACCAAGACGUGGAGACCGGUAGUGGCCCCGAAUGUCUGGCUGUGCUGAUAUUUAUUGGAUACAAAGCAAAAGGGACAGGGUAAAGAGUGUGAGUCAUCUCCAAUGAUAGGUAAGGUGACGUGAGUCACGUGUCCACCGGAUGGGGGGCCCUUCCCUGUUUGGCAGCCAAGGCGGAGAGAGAGAGAGAGAGACAGCUUACAUCAUUAUUUCUGCAUAUCAGAGACUUUUAGUACUUUCACUAAUUGACUACUGCUAUCUAGAAGGCAGAGCCAGGUGUACAGGAUGGAACAUGAAGGCGGACUACGAGCGUGACCACUGAAGCACAGCAUCACAGGGAGACGGUUAGGCCUCUGGAUAACUGCGGGCAGGUCUGACUGAUGUCAGGCCCUCCACAGGAGGUGGAGGAGUAGAGUCCUCUCUAAGCUCCCCCGGGGAAAGGGAGACUCCCUUUCCCUGUCUGCUAAGUAGCAGGUGUUUUCCCUUGACACUGACGCUACUGCUAGAUCACGGUCCGCUUGGCAACAGGUGUCUUCCCAGACGCUGGCGUCACCACUAGACCAAGGAGCCCUCUGGUGGCCCUGUCAGGGCGUAACAGAAGGCUCGCACUCUUGUCUUCUGGUCACUUCUCACUAUGUCCGCUCAGCUCCUAUCUCUGUAUGGCCUGGUUUUUCCUAGGUUAUAAUUGUAGAGCAAGGAUUAUUAUAAUAUUGGAAUAAAGAGUAAUUGCUACAAGCUAAUGAUUAAUAAUAUUCAUAUAUAAUCAUGUCUAUGAUCUAGAUCUAGUAUAACUCUUGUUAUUUUAUAUAUUUUAUUAAACUGGAACAGCUCGUG